UAAUCCAGUGUGGUCUCUUUACC
rnacentral:piRNA from 1 species